UACGUAGGGGGCUAGCGUUGUCCGGAAUCAUUGGGCGUAAAGCGCGUGUAGGCGGUCCGGUAAGUCCGCUGUGAAAGUCGAGGGCUCAACCCUCGAAUGCCGGUGGAUACUGUCGGGCUUGAGUCCGGAAGAGGCGAGUGGAAUUCCUGGUGUAGCGGUGAAAUGCGCAGAUAUCGGGAGGAACACCAGCGGCGAAGGCGGCACUCUGGGCUGGAACUGACGCUGAGGAGCGAAAGCGUGGGUAGCAAACAGG
rnacentral:rRNA from 1 species